rnacentral:rRNA from 1 species
AGAGUUUGAUCCUGGCUCAGGACGAACGCUGGCGGCGCGCCUCACACAUGCAAGUCGAGCGAGGAGCCUCCCUUCGGGGAGGUAUCCGAGCGGCGAACGGGUGAGUAACACGUGAGCAACCUGCCCUCGACACCGGGAUAACCCCGGGAAACUGGGGCUAAUACCGGAUACUUGCCAGUCGGGGCAUCCCGAUUGGCAGAAAGGUUCUCCGCCGCGAGGUGGGGUUCCGGUCGAGGAGGGGCUUGCGGCCUAUCAGCUAGUUGGUGGGGUAACGGCCUACCAAGGCGACGACGGGUAGCCGGCCUGAGAGGGUGAUCGGCCACACUGGGACUGAGACACGGCCCAGACUCCUACGGGAGGCAGCAGUGGGGAAUCUUGCGCAAUGGGCGAAAGCCUGACGCAGCGACGCCGCGUGGGGGAUGAAGGCCUUCGGGUUGUAAACCCCUUUCACCACCGACGAAGCCUUCGGGUGACGGUAGGUGGGGAAGAAGCGCCGGCUAACUACGUGCCAGCAGCCGCGGUAAUACGUAGGGCGCGAGCGUUGUCCGGAUUUACUGGGCGUAAAGGGCUCGUAGGCGGUCCGUCGCGUCGGCUGUGAAAGACCGCAGCUCAACUGCGGAAACGCAGUCGAUACGGGCGGACUAGAGGACGGUAGAGGCAAGCGGAAUUCCUGGUGUAGCGGUGAAAUGCGCAGAUAUCAGGAGGAACACCGAUGGCGAAGGCAGCUUGCUGGGCCGUUCCUGACGCUGAGGAGCGAAAGC